GACAGAGGGUGCAAACGUUGUUCGGAUUUACUGGGCGUAAAGCGCACGUAGGCGGAUCGAUCAGUCAGGGGUGAAAUCCCAGAGCUCAACUCUGGAACUGCCUUUGAUACUGUCGAUCUGGAGUAUGGAAGAGGUGAGUGGAAUUCCGAGUGUAGAGGUGAAAUUCGUAGAUAUUCGGAGGAACACCAGUGGCGAAGGCGGCUCACUGGUCCAUUACUGACGCUGAGGUGCGAAAGCGUGGGGAGCAAACAGG
rnacentral:rRNA from 1 species